rnacentral:lncRNA from 1 species
UGUGAAUGGAGACUAGCCUGCUGGUAGAGACCUUGGCAGUGACCGCUGUGGGCAAUGAGCCAUGGGCCAACAAUAUUCAAUGCUGUGUACCUGAUGGAUGGUCACUGUCUGAGGCUGAAGCUUUUGGGGCCAGGAGUAAAAGGACUUGGUUUGUGCUCGAUUGCAUCCUGUGGGUGCUUGCCUACCAACUGACUCAUCCCGACGUGCCAAAGGCCCUGGCUUUCACCUGUGUGGGUAAGGGAAGAAGAGAUUUCUAAUGAAGACUAGCAGACUGAAUUACUCUCUGAGAUGAGGAGUUUGCUAUUGCCAUUGCAGAGCUACUGGUGGAGGUUGUUGUUAAACAGCGGGUCUUGCAUGCAAGCUCUACAGUUAUGCACAGUAUUUCCAUGACAUCCCAAGCCAUGAGGUCCAUGCUGCUGUAUUCCCCUGUUUAACAAGUGUGGAAACUGAUAAUGCACUCACAAUGGCUGAUGUAUCUAAUGUUUUCUAUUGUGGACACAGGACACCCAGACUGAGAACCAAUGGCUCCGGUCUGAUUUAAACAUGGGUCCGUGCUCACACACUCAAUACCUACCCUCUGUGCUCACAAGUCCUGUGUGAGUAAUACUCCAAAUUAUUCUGUCUUGUUUUGCUCAAUGGUAUCCUCUAUCUUAUUAUAGAGUAUACCAUGUAUUGAGACAAGAAUGCCAGUCAUUCUGAGAAACAAAAUGCAACCAUUGAUUGUCAUUUUAAUUAGUGACAAAUAGUUGUGUCGAUCAUCAAACAUGCUUGUAUAAUUGGAUGAGAAGAGGUGUAACACGGGCCAAUGAUGACGAGGUUUCGGGAUUAUAAGUCACGGACCAGCAGAAGGUGCCUCAUGUGACCCUCUCAUGAAGGGGUUGCAAGUCAGGCAUGUGCACACAGUAGAUAUUAGCCAUGCACUCUCACCAUUUCAUAGUAGAUCACAGAAUCAAGAUUCAAAUCUCCAUGCACUGAAAAGG